CUACGUGCCAGCAGCCGCGGUAAUACGUAGGGUGCGAGCGUUAAUCGGAAUUACUGGGCGUAAAGCGGGCGCAGACGGUUACUUAAGCAGGAUGUGAAAUCCCCGGGCUCAACCUGGGAACUGCGUUCUGAACUGGGUGACUAGAGUGUGUCAGAGGGAGGUAGAAUUCCACGUGUAGCAGUGAAAUGCGUAGAGAUGUGGAGGAAUACCGAUGGCGAAGGCAGCCUCCUGGGAUAACACUGACGUUCAUGCCCGAAAGCGUGGGUAGCAAACAGGAUUAGAUACCCUGGUAGUCCACGCCCUAAACGAUGUCGAUUAGCUGUUGGGCAGCAUGACUGCUUAGUAGCGAAGCUAACGCGUGAAAUCGACCGCCUGGGGAGUACGGUCGCAAGAUUAAAACUCAAAGGAAUUGACGGGGACCCGCACAAGCGGUGGAUGAUGUGGAUUAAUUCGAUGCAACGCGAGGAACCUUACCUGGUCUUGACAU
rnacentral:rRNA from 1 species